GUUGAAGGCAAAAUAGCAAAUGGAAAUUUCCAGAACAUUAAUCUAAAGUAGCAAUAUUGGUAGUGAAUAGAGUGUUCUCAAGAUCAUAACAGGAAGACGCAUACACAAGCUUUAAUAGUAAUUUAGCAAAGAGCUUUGCGCACUUUUGAAUUCUAUAUCAAUAAGAGCCAGCCAGAAAAUCUAUCUUACCACCUCGCAAAGAACUUCUAGUUUCAAGCAUGAAAGAAUAAAUGAAGGACAAAACUAA
rnacentral:misc_RNA from 1 species